rnacentral:pre_miRNA from 1 species
UAAGUACUCCCUCCGUUCGGAAUUACUUGUCUCGGAAAUGGAUGUAUCCAGAACUAAAAUACGUCUAGAUACAUCCAUUUCUGCGACAAGUAAUUCCGAACGGAGGGAGUAGAAG